rnacentral:lncRNA from 1 species
GGCAUAACAUUUUCACGAAGACAAUAAUAGAAGUAAAAGUAAAGGGACGAAGACCACCUGUUGCAGGGCAGUGAACGGGGGCUUGCGGUCUCGAUCUUAAAUCUACUUACUAACUCUGAUGACCAUCGUUAAUGGUCGAAACGAACACACAAACUAUUGCUGCGACUGGAAUGCCAAAGAAAAUGGUAAAGUACGAAAAUAGAAGAGAAGGUUUAGAGGAGAAAUAACUAAAAAUUUUAGAGGUGAN